rnacentral:rRNA from 1 species
CUGGUCCGACAGCAGAAGGUUAGUGCAAUAGCCUAAACUAACUUGACUGAGAGCGUCACGGCGCGAGCAGGGAUGCAAGCAAGUCAUAGUGAACCGCUGGUUCUGAAUGGAAGUGCCAUCGCUCAACGGAUAAAAGGUACCCCGGGGAUAACAGGCUGAUACCGCCCAAGAGUUCAUAUCGACGGCGGUGUUUGGCGCAUCGAUGUCGGCUCAUCACACCCUGGGGCUGAAGUAAGUCCCAAGGGUAUGGC